CUCAGGAGGUCAUCUAGUCCAAUCCCUUGCUCAAAGCAGGACUAAUCCCCGGACAGAUUUUUGCCCCAGGUCCCUAAAUGGCUACUUAAGGACUGAACUGACAACUCCGGGUUUAGCGGGCUAAUGCUUAAACCACUGAGCUAUGGAGAACUUGUGGGGCAUCCUGUGUGCUGAAUCACAUUCCUUCCAGCUCCCUCUGGUUGUCAGUGGACAAACCCAGCUUGACAUUUUUCCGCAUCUUCCAUUGACUUCCAUCAGCAACACAACAAAGUACUCCUGCUCAUACUGUUAGCCUGCUAAUGUUAGUGGACCAUCCAGAUAUCUAGAAUCAUGCAGGAAAAGUUGUACAGCAAGAUGGGCCGGCUACUCAUGUCACCAUCCAGACAGUGGACAAUAAAUAUGAAUGUAAUGUGAGAAGUUGGUGAUGGAGAAAAGUGUCCCAAAUGUGGCCUGGUUCCAAAGCCUCUGCAGCAGGUUCUGUUUGCACCCACUGCCUUUUAAGGUAAGCAGCUGUGGCAGUUGCCCAUGUUAAGAGAAGAAGGGGAAGGCUGAGGGUACAAAUCAGAGGAAACCAAAGAGUUUUCAAUAUAGAGUGGAGAUGCCUCAUUCAGCGGUUGUAAUGCCAUCAUAACCAUGGAUUGUUAUUUGGGAUAACCCUUGGUUAAGUCUUUCCAGGGUCCAACCAAAUUAAACAAUGUGCUUCUUCACUCCUUCUCUUCUAUCAGGAAUGAAACAUCCCCUUCCUUCUCCCACCCCCAUACAGGAACUACAGGUGAAUACCCGGAACUUGUGAUGCCAGAUGCGAUGCACAGUCUUUCUAUCCCUCGUGUUCCUGUGGAACCAUUCUCUCCACCCUUCUACCCACAGUUUGGCAGGAUGGAGAUCAACAGAGAUGCCUACUUAAAAUCAAAGGACAGCAGAUACUCAUUAGCUGGCAAAUGUCCAAUAUUGAAGCUUGAGGGAGAAAUUAAAUACUCCUCAUAAUGGAAGUAUCCACUGGCCAUCCCUGUAUAUUCAACUUUUCAUGAUAAACCUAAGUAGAUAUUACACUGUUUAAUUCUUAUCUUACUUUCUGUAAUGUGGUUAAUAUUUCUACCAUGUUUAUGUAGUUUCAGCUGUAGGGAAACCCUUUUCUAGGGUCAGAGUACAAUGCUUCAGUUUUCCAGCUGGAAGAACCUGAAUUAAAAAACAAAAUCUAAAUAUAAACUUAUGUGAACUGGGCAGGCCUAAACCAGCACUGAUACCCAGAUAAAUGGAUAUCUCCACUCAGAGAAACAAAAUUACAGAUACGGAAACUUAAAAAAACAGACUGUAGCUAAAGUAUCACUUUGAAUUUUAGGACUUUAAACUGGAGGAUAGGAACCCUCUGCUUGAGUUGAACUAAUUUUUCAUAAGUUUGAUUCAUUAUUAUAUGUUCAUUAUUAUGGUAGAUUGGAUAUUUUUUGCACAGCUUUAAAACAGAUGACCCUCAAUUAACCUUGUCCCCAUGUCAUGAAUGUUUUUUAGGCUCCACAGUUCUCUCUUAAUUUCAAGUCCACAAAUAUAUUGUAUUGAUGUUUCUGAGUGAGAAUUAGAAGUGAUGACAUCUUAUGUUAGAUUGCACCAACCUCUUUAAGUACCUGUAGAUCUUUCCAGUUUACAAUUAAUAAAUGCUGUAGAGAGAGAGACUAACUGUUACUAGCAGAUUGGGACUACCCACUAUAAUUCAUUUCUUUAUUGAGAGAAAUUAAUUCCAAAACAUUUGCAAGUUAUCAUGCUGUUUACAAAGUUCACCUGUAUCAGCAUGAUUCUUCCUAGUUUCCCUUGUAAUAAACUCACUUAAUGCCCCAAUCCUGCCUUGCUGCAGUUGGAUCCAUCUGGAUGUACCCUGGGCAUGCAUAGAGCCCUCACUGACUUACUAUAAUUAAUAUCCUGGGACCUCUGAGAUAAGGUGGAUGGAGCAGAAAUGCACAAAUUGCAAAUGAGAAAAUCCAUCUUUUAAAGUGUAUUUCUUAAGGUAUAGCUCCAGCAUUGUAAGGCUUUACUGUUUUUCAGGGGAAGGGUAACAGCUGAGCUGGCAUGGAAGGGGAUUUAAUCUGAUGUACUAGAUUAUUUACUCCUCUUGUCCAUUCCCCUUCUUCCCCCAAAGCAAGGAGUGAACCAGGGAGGGUAAGACAGCAAGUAUUUCUUCUCUGUUCUAGUCUUACUCAGGGCAGACUGUAAACUUAUGCCCUUAGCCUACGUAAUCGUACAAAGUUGCACAGGCAAAGGGUUGGCUGGGUUGAAGCCCCUUUGAAAAUUUGUUCUCUAUAAGGUGUCAGAAAUCAGGGCCUGCAGCAGAACCUGUCUCAGGGCAACCUAAUGAGUGCAGCUGGGCUGCAGUAGGUUGUCUAAUUGGCUACACUACCUGACUUGUUGGAAGAGUCAGCAGACCAGCUCUUAAGCCCAGCUGCAGUUCAGUGGCUGCUCGCAGCAUUCACCCAUGGCUGUGAUAGCUUCUGCCUCACCUCACUCCAAGUAAUUCAGCUUUUACUCUUGACUCUAAUUCCUGACUUCGGAUUCCAGCUUUGGCUUCUGACUGCUGUUCCUGGCUACUGAUUCCUGCUCAGCCACUUGGUGUGACUGCCCAUGCCCCGGUCUCUGACGUUAGGAACAUAGGUUUUCUGUUGGAUAACAUCUUUUGUGUCUUCUAUAUCUCAUCUCUUUAGUUCUGCUUAGUGUCCAUUCUGAAACCUUGUUUUCAUUUAACAGCUGUUUCUCUGACAAAUUGGUAUUUGUGUUGUCUUCUGUCUUCAUUUCAGUGAUCAUAUCCUUAACUCCUAACUUCAUUGUGUUCACGACUUCCUAUUUAUUCCCUUCCACUCGUUACUAAAAUACCAGACUUUUGUCUCACUCUCAUUUCUCCAGAGUAGACAAUAUUAGGUUCAGUAGAUUCUUCUGGGACACUAUGCCAGGAAUGCAGGAACCUAAAUGAAUCCUUGACUGUUUACAUUCUUUUCUCUUCCAAACAGCCUAUGACUCCUGGAAUCUUUUUCUGAUUAACUAUUUCAGUAACAUUCUUGGAACCUGCUAGUGUCCUCAUGCUCAAUAAUUUGUCUCAAGUUGGAGUUAUAACCUUUAUUGUUUCCCAUACAAAAUUUAGUAGUGCAUAUAUGCAUUCUGUAGGCAAACUAAGGCCUCAGUCCAGCCAGUGAGCUCUGCUUGUGGUUAUUCCUGAUGUGUGUGCAUACGUACAUGCACACAGAAAAAACAUUGCAGGAUGAGGGGCUAACAGUGGUUUAGAAGGGGGAGCUAGCGUGCAUGAACAAAUUUAAAAAAAAUAUCAUGCUGCAUUUUGCUGCCUGGUUUUUUUUUUUUUUUUUUUUUUGUUAAUAGUACAUGGACAUACCCUGCUGUAUGCACAUGUAACAGUAGCAUGCAUAUAUCUGGAGCAUUAUAUAUUUAAACAACAUGAUCUAAUGGACUAAGCACUGCUCUAAAAGUCACAGCUCUAGCACUCUUCUCCUGGUUCCGAUAGAUUAUCAGACCUGGAGCAGGUCACUUAAUUCCAUUUUUGCAGAUCUGAGAAACUAAGACAGAAGUUAAGAUACUAGUCUCAAAACUGUUUGUGCAAUGUUUUGAUUCAGUAAGGCACUUGUAAGUAUUUAUCUGUAAACCACCUUAAGACGUGGGUGAUGAAUAAGUAAUACUUUUUUCUGUUAAAGGCACUUAUUCUCUCUGAGGGCUAAGCCCAUAACAAGUUCAAGGCUUUAAAAAGAAGCAGCAAUUUGUUAUCUAAGAACAAAUAUAGUCUGAAAAAUUUUAAGUGACAUGAAUCACUAAUUUUUCAUGUUUGGAUACUUCAAACAGCCUGAUAGAUUUUUAUCAAACAAGUCAUACUUAGGCUGGAAAUAGGCACAAGAAACUCAAGCCUAAGGGAAUUUUUUUUCCGAAAAGGUGGAGUGCUGGUAAAUAAGGGUUUAUGAUAAAAAGUGCUUUUUUAACCAUAACUUGCAGCAUCACAGUACAGUAAUUGAUUCAAGUUUAAGUACUUCAGUCAUUUUUGGAAGAUAAUUGAAUAUUUGCUUUGUGUUCCAUGAAGUAAUGGUUAAUUAUGAGAACAUGGAAAUUCUUUAAAAUUGGGAAGAGUCUACUAGUAGAACAUAAGAUGCUUAUGGUUUUAUUUAUUUCUCUUCUCUACUUUUCAUGCUUGCUACCUAGCCCUGCGUAUUGUUUGCACCCUCUCCUUUCUCUAUAAAGUUACCUAGUUCAGGCAGUGCUUUUAACUUUUUUCCUGCCACAGCUCUUGCCAUCUCUGGGCAUUUGCUUGAUCACCAUAAUUUCCUCUAAAUUGUUUCUUAUUGUUUUAAGACUUUAACUUCUAGUGAGAAUUUUUAAAUGCUGCUAAAAAAGAGGAAAAAACCUCACUGACGUUAUACAAAAUUACUUAAGCCUUUGCCUUUUACCAGUUUAAUUUACUGCAAUGCAUUGUUUUCAAGGCCAGCUUUGUCCUUUUAAAAAUAAGUGGACAGUAACUAUUUACCAUACGGUAAUAUUUCUCUGUUUUGUUUUUUUUUGUUAAUCUGCUCCUUUUGUUUUUAGUCUAAUAUCUACUUUGCAGAUGAACUUCAAGUACAAUGUUUCAGAGGUUUUUUUUUUGUGCAAAACUCUGAACUUCUCUCCUGAUCAGUAAGUUUGAGUCUCAUUUUAGUUUUAGUGCACAUUUGUCUUUCUGAGUUUUAGCAACCAGACUUCUCUCAAGUUUUUGUUUGCAUAAGGCUUCUGCUGCUCAGCUCUUUGACUCCUUUGAAAGACCUUGGCUGUUACAACAAAGUAAUUAAUUGACUCCCUUUGCAGUUAUAUCUGUGCGAUAGCAGUUAUCUUUCAAAUCAAUGGCUGGAUAUAGUAGUGAUCAUGCUUAACUCAGGAGUUCUUUUUUCAGUAUAGAAAGUGAUUUUUUUCAAACAUAUAGCAUGUAAAUGACAAAUUAAGCUCUCCUGCUGUACUAAUAGAUAGCUUUAAUGUUAACUGUGUUCACUUCAAUCCUGCACAAACACACAGUGUUCCAUAUAACUCUUACUGUGUUUAGGAUUGGAAUAAAUUACAGGUCAGGAUUAAGAUGCAUUGAAAAGAGCUGUAUGAAGAUGCUUGCACUUUGCUAGAUAUUACAGAUAUCUCUUUAAGUUGAUGGUGCUGUUUUAUCAUGAAUUAAUCCAGAGUAUUUAAAGUAGAAUAAGACAUCAUAGGCAGGUGAUCCUGUAUUGCUCACUUGGCCAUGCCAAAUGCAUGUUUCCUAUCUCAUAAGUAAAGUCAGUGCUUCCAAAUAAAGACUUCAGUAAUUUUCUUUUGUAGUCUAGAUAGACUCUGCAGGGUUUUUUCUUUACGUGGGGGGAAAGUGUCACAAUUAAGCAAUACUACAUUUUUCUCCCUCUUCACUCCUGUCACAAUGUUCACAAAACUCAGUGACAAAGACUCAAUUUAGCUUUCAUGAUGGUAUUAGAAUAGUGUCCAUAUUUAAAAUGUUCUUGAUCUUACAGGUCAGCAGUCUCAAAAUUGUAGAGCAUAGCUGUUGAUGAAAGUUAGAACAUGCUGCCUACUCAUAUUAAAAAAAUAGAGCUGUUGUGGGGUAAGAAAAAACUAAAUGUGUGUUCAGCCCGAAUUUUCACAAAGCUUUAUAUAAUACAUAUCAUACUGGCGUGUAACUUUACUCAAAGGCAGACAGUUCAGUUUGUUCCAAACACCAUGCCACUGAUUUUUUUAAGUCAAAUACUCCCUUGAGAUUGACCAUUUUUAAUAUGCUCCAUAAAUAUUUGUAGUUGAUGUUGAGUUUGAUAAAAUUGGCUGGUUAUGUAAUGGGGGGAGACUGUCAUGUUCAGGAACGAUGACUGAAAGGAACUUGUGUGUGCUGGCUGUUUGAGAUUUAUCUUCGUGAGCUAAAAGAAAAAAGAGAUGGGGGCAGGGGGAGAAAUGGCCCUCUUCUGAUAGAUGACAUUGCAAUAACCUUCAUUUGUUUCUUGAGAAAUAAGUGUUACAGUAGAAGGUUGUAAUAAAUGGUUCACUGCAACUUAAUGCUCAGCAGCCUAAUUAGUCAAAUACCACGUGCUUACCUGUGCAUGAAAUAACCCAUUUCUUUCCAGUGUAAAACUGGAACUUUCGAUUCUGGAGCAACCAAAGGAGCUUUUUGUUGUAAAUGACCACUGGCUUUUUAAACUCAAAAACAAUGAAGGUCAGCAUGGUAUCCAUAGAGACUACAUGUAGUUUCCUCAUUAAUCCUUGUUUACCCCUGAAACAGCUAGUCACGUACUACUAAAAUACUAAUUCUCAAUUUCAGAAGGAGAGCUUUGUAUGUAAACUGAAUGUGAUUGGGUUUCAGUAGCUGAGAGACCUUAUAUGUAUCAGAUACAAAGAAUCUGAAUGUGCAGAUAGUGGGUGCUUAUGCUUAGAGCCCUGUGUGUUUUGCAAAUGCAAAAUAAUAUGAAGUAAAACACAAAAUGAUUAAAAUGACACAACAAAAAACUCAUCUCACAAUGACUGUUCCUGUCCUACGGGUUUGGGCCCAGCUCCCUGCUCCAAGCAUUUAAUCCUGCUCACAGGGUUGCAGCACUGCUUGGGUUUGUCUUGGCUGCUCUACUGUCACGAUGGGAUGGAGGUAGUGAGUGAGUGGUACUGCAGCCCUGUGUGGAACAGGAGUCACUGCUGAGAGAUGCGUGUGGGAUGGGCUUGCUCUGCCCCCCUUUCCUUCCCUUGUUGCAGCACCUCUUUUCCUCUUGUGGGGCAAUGAUGGAGAGAACUAAAUAAAUUAUUCCCAAAAAAUAAAAUGGAAAAAUUAUAAAGAGAAUUUCACUGGGCUGUACUUAUGCUCCUUUUUUAUUUUGUAUUUUGCUUGUUGGAUUGUAGACCUGUUUAGCUGUGUGACUGUCAAAGCAUGAAAGUGUGUCUUUUUUUUUUCUUUUUUCUUCUUAAUACUGCCACAGUUUAAGUUUUCAGGUCUGUCACUUUUUUGAGGGGGUGGGUACUUAAUGUGAUUAGGAAAAUUAGUGCAGGUGUUUAAAGGAAGUUGCAUUCUUUGGCGAGCUCUGGGGAAUGAAGGCAUCAUGAAGUGAACACUUUAAAGUACACUUUAAAAAUACUUGUGAACUAAAGAAUUUUUAAAUUGCAGAUUUUGCUCCAUAACUUAAAUUUCAGCUGUUUAUUUUAGAUGACUGUGAUCAACAGCUGUGCUUUGCUGAAAGCUCAUGUAGGCAGAGAAAUGAGGUGAAGUAUGAUGUUGUAAUUGGUGAAGCAAUAAAUCAAAGUGCUAUGCAAUGCCAUUUUAUAAACUAUUUUUUUCUUUUGAAGGGGAUUCCCAUUGUUGUGUACUAUUACGCGGUAUAAUACGGUAUUGUAGUCUGUUGAUGUAAACAUCCCCGACUGGAAGCUGUAAGAGAAAUUCUAGCUUUCAGUCAGAUGUUUGCUGCAUCCGGCUAUUCAUGGACAACAUCAGAAGGAAAAGAUUAGUUAUAAAUAUAUGUAAUGUUAAAACUACUUUAUAUGUGAUUGUGACUUUUGUCAGAAUCCGUGGAAGAAAGAGCAUAAAUCCUAGGAACAGUCUAUAGUUUUAAUUUUUUUAAAGUGGGUUUGACUAUAAAGAAUAAAAGUGACAUUUAUAUUUUUAAAAAAUGCAGAAAUUGCUCUGUCCCGGAGGCUAUUUUAGUAAUGUCCCCUACCCAUCCCAAAUAUAAAUGUUGUCUUUGGUAAGUGCAGUGAAUGUCUGGGUUGUGUUUUUGUCAUUGAGUUCCUGCUUUUUUGACCUUCCAUGAAGCCUAUUUGCCAUCAUGUCUGCCAGUUUGCAUGAAAAAAAUCCUAAAAUGUGAAGUCCAUGGUUCUUAAAAAAAAAAAAAAAAAAAAAAAAAAUGAAAUCCUUACCCCUCUCCAGCACCUUUAUGCUGGUUAAAAUGGCCAAAGUGGCAUAAAGGGGUCCUAAAAGCCCUGAUUCUGAUGGAGAGAAUUCUCUCAGUUCAGGCUCUGUACACUUUCUGGAGAAUCCAGUUUGAGCUAUAUAUGCAAGCCUUUCCAGGUGGUGUUACUUCUCUGGGGUGUUACAACCUGAGUGAAUUUGCCUAAUCAGCCCUCACUGUUUCCAGUUCUGGAGCAUCUGUGGUCACCUUACCCUAUGGAAUUAUAUACAGUCCCUGGCCCACAGUGAUACAUAAACUUAAUACAGUUAAAGAUAUUGCAGGAAAUUACCAUAUCUGUCACAGAGGUUUCAUUUUCAAACUUCCUAAAAAAGGAGGGGACCAACUUAUUUGUGAUAAUUGGAUAGAGAUGACACUCCUAUCCAUAUCUGGAAAAGUGUUUUGCAUUAUCACUUUGAAUACAUGAAAACUGCUGUUGACAAAGUAGGGAAGAGCAAGCUGGAUUUUGAUCUGGUGGUUGGCAUUCAGACCAUUUUUUCACCUUGAGAAGCUUAAGAGCACCAGCAGAAGAUGUCUUGUUAACUUUGUUGAUUUUAUGAAAGUAUUUGAUAGUGUCACGUGGAAGCCUUUUGGAAGAUCCUGAGACAUGGAAUUCCAGCAAAGAUUUUUAAUUUGAUAAAAGCUUUGUAUGAAGAGUCUACAUGCUCGAUCGGGAGAGAGUGGAGACACAAUGAUUCAAGAUUGUUACUGGUAUAAGACAAAGGUGAAUGCUAUCCCCACUUCUCCAUUGUCAUAGACUUUGUGAUGAGAAGACCAGUGGCUGCUGCCAAGCACUCUGGUAUUGUUUGGGCAAGAGAGAAGCUGGGAGACUUGGGUUUCUGCAGAUACAUAGUCGUACUAUAUACCAACUUGGAUGGAAUGAGAAGACUGAGCAUAAAAGCAGAAGCUGCUGAAGUGGGACAUUGUACAGUACAUGGAAGACCAAGAGCAUGGAAACAGAAGAGAAUGGUGUCAAUGCUGGUGAAUGUGUGAUUGAUGGAGAAGAAUACAAAAGAGCUGAUGACUUUAUUGAUCUUGGAAGUACAAUAUGUGCCAAUGGCCAAAGAAGUGAAGGGAAGGAUUGGUAAAACCAGUGGACCAUUUUCCCAUUUGUCAAGCAUCUGGAAGAGUAAAAAGCUACAUCUGCACACUAAAGAUUGUACAGCUGUUGUCCUGCCACUACUUUAACAUGCACUGGAGACAUGGAAUACAAUAAGAAGCUCAAUGCAUUACACUAUCGUUGUUUAAGAACCACCUGGGAAUUCAUUGGAGUGAUCGUGUAAACAACGUAGAAGUGUUGUUCGCAUGGGUCAGCAGGCUGCAGACUCAAUAAUUAGACAGAUGGCUAUGGUGCUUUGGCCGUGUUAUCAGGCUACCAGAUGGCGGAAAGGCAAGGGAUUCCACCUGGAGGAAAGAGGAGGAGUGAACACAAAAAUGACCCAUCUUAGAAUAAGCGAAAGGAUGCUGCUGUCAAGGAGAUGGCUUACGAUGGAGUCAAGCAUCUUGCUCUGUCUGGAUAGACAGCAGUAGAGAAAAAAUAGGUUGCCUCAUAUGCCACUAAGCACGGUAGAUUCUAAGUAAUUCGAGGUGAAAAGUAGAAAGUCUUACAUGACGUGUAUUUUUAUAUUAGAGAGACAAGGUGAAUGAGGUAAAUAUUUAAAUGUAAAAAACUCUCCUUUAAGCUUUCCCAAGCUUCUAGGUACUCUAACAUAUCAGCAAAAUUCAGGCAUCAUUAAAAUAACAAUUUCAACACUCUCAACUGGCCAUCUAUAAAAACUACUUUCCCACCUCUCCCCUGGCUCUGGGAAGGAGGUAGUAUUUUGGGUUCCUUGGUGAUUCUCUCCUUUUUCUUCCAUUUACUUAUGUGGAUUCCUGAUUUGAAAGGGGUGUGUUGGGGU